UGAGCUGUACAAACAAUAAGCUUUACAUAAUUUUGAGUUUGUUCAUUAAGUUUGCUUAAAUUAAAUCUGCUUUAAUAAAUUCAUUUUUUGUUUGAACAUUACUUUUGAUUUUAAAUAAUUAAAUCUAUAUUAUGAUUGCCUUUCCACUAAAAAAUUUAGUUGAUUUACAUCAAUGACUUUUUUUCUGGUAAACACUAAUUUGUACUAAACUCUGUGAUGAUCUCGCUUUGUUACUUUUUUGCAACAUUUUACGCUUUAAUGAUUGACUUUAAACUCGUUUAAGCGAGGCAAAGGCACGGGACUGUAAAUGUUUGCCGGAAAUUAUCUUCAUUUUCAUCAUCUUCACAUUCACCUUCAACACACUUGACUCCAGAAUCAGAUGGCAUUGCUACCCUUCAUUCAGAUGGUCGAUUCAAGUCAAUGACUUGAAGACAUUGGCAACUUUAAUGACCGCUUGGAACCACAAUUGGAAUGAUGGAAAAGAAAUCAUUAAAUUCUUAAUUACUUUGGAAUUCAAUUAAACAUGAUGACAUCUAAAUAAUUCAACAAACCAGAUACUCCAAUCAUUAGAGAAGCCAUAACAUCAGCCCUUAAUAGCACUUCAUAUUCAAACAAAACAUUGGAUUCCUUUUUCCCGAUCCUUCUCUCAAUUGCCAUCCUCACCUCUUUUGUCCUGUUUUUGUGCUUUUGUCUGUUUUACAACAUGUACUUUAGUUACCAACAGUGAAAUACUUCGGACCAGUUUUGAUGUAAAUACCAUCAUUUGUCAAAAAAUGAACCAAACCCAUCGCUACAGGCCCAUGAAUCCAAAGCUGAAAGAUGUGACGAAAAUUCCUGUGUAUUCAUCAACAAUCAUUUUCCAGUUAUGAGUUAUCUCCUAAGCUUGGUCUUAAAUUUAAAAGCUACAAUCAAGAUAUUAAAGACUGUAAAGACAUGGAAUCAACAUUGGAAAAUAAUGGUUACAACCUGAUGAUUACUCUUAAAUCGCGAUUAUCAAUCAGUUUUCAAUUUUAAUUACCCGAAAAAAGGUUAAAACAAUUAAAUUGUUUACUUAAAUUGAUGUAAACAAUUAAUAUUUUUCCAUCAACAGACCAUCUUAUCACACAUUUUCAAAGUUGAAACCAAGAUUGGCGAUUAAUCUUUUAACUUCUUAUAUUAUUAGCAUUGGAUAAUAGGGAAAACGUAAUUCAUGAUUCAUAAACCUUCUGAUUAAUGAUUCUCUUUUUAAUCACCUUUGAAAACCUAUUAACUACUCAAUUAAUUAUCAACAGAAAAGCAAUAGAUUGCAAUUGCGUUAAUAUUGAUUUUAAUCAAAUUUUCAUUUCCAUAUUUUUGAAUGUUAAUAACAAAAUAAAACGUAACUCUCUUCCUAUUCAGCAAACCUACACAAACCAACUAAACCUACGCUAAAUUGAGUUACCAGAGUUUUAAUUCAUCUUUAAAUUGUGUUAUUUUCAAAUGUUAAUCAUUACACCUUUAACAAUCUAUCGAGCUAUCCGUUUCAGGCCAAUCAGUUGAUUGUCAUAAUCAUUUAACCUUAAACACUUUAAUCAUUGAAAAUCCAAACACACCCUGACAAUUUACCUUUUGUUUACCAAACCUUUAAAUUAAGCACUUUGCAAGACACAAUUAUCUCUUCAUUUGUAAUUGCUACCAAUUUAGUAAUAACCAUCCAACAAUUUACCUUAAUUGACAACAAUUAAAUGUCCGAAGCAUAAAAUUGUUCACUUAAACCAGUCCAAACAAUAUCCAACAAUUGUCUUAGUGAACAUUAAAAUGUUUUGCCGAUUUUCUGGUAACAUUGAAGAUACAAUUGAAUGUUAUUAAAUUGAAAUAUCGAUUAAUUUGA